AACUGAAGAGUUUGAUCAUGGCUCAGAUUGAACGCUGGCGGCAGGCCUAACACAUGCAAGUCGAGCGGCAGCACGGGGAGCUUGCUCCCUGGUGGCGAGCGGCGGACGGGUGAGUAAUGCAUAGGAAUCUGCCCGGUAGUGGGGGAUAACCUGGGGAAACCCAGGCUAAUACCGCAUACGUCCUACGGGAGAAAGCAGGGGCUCUUCGGACCUUGCGCUAUCGGAUGAGCCUAUGUCGGAUUAGCUGGUUGGUGAGGUAAUGGCUCACCAA
rnacentral:rRNA from 1 species